CUGCAUUCUUAACCCUCCUGGCAGCUCUGUUUAUUAGCUUCCAGGAUAAGAAUGAAUGCCAGAGAAAACUGUUGAUUAAUCCAAAAUGAAGAGCUCUCCUCCCGUGGCUCUCCAUUAUUUCACGUCUUCAACAUUGAUUU
rnacentral:snoRNA from 1 species